CCCAGGAUGGCAGAAUAUUAUGUAUAAAAUUUAGGAUUUUAAAAUGGAUUUUUAUCCUUUUGGGG
rnacentral:tRNA from 1 species